rnacentral:tRNA from 1 species
UGGGUUGUAGGUCAGUGGUAGAGCACUUGCCUAGCAUGUAUGAGGCACUGGGUUCAAUACUCAGCACCACAU